GACGAACGCUGGCGGCGUGCUUAACACAUGCAAGUCGAACGGAAAGGCCCUGCUUUUGUGGGGUGCUCGAGUGGCGAACGGGUGAGUAACACGUGAGUAACCUGCCCUUGACUUUGGGAUAACUUCAGGAAACUGGGGCUAAUACCGGAUAGGAGCUCCUGCUGCAUGGUGGGGGUUGGAAAGUUUCGGCGGUUGGGGCUGGACUCGCGGCUUAUCAGCUUGUUGGUGGGGUAGUGGCUUACCAAGGCUUUGACGGGUAGGCGGCCUGAGAGGGUGACCGGCCACAAUGGGACUGAGAUACGGCCCAGACUCCUACGGGAGGCAGCAGGGGGGAAUAUUGCACAAUGGGCGGAAGCCUGAUGCAGCAACGCCGCGUGCGGGAUGACGGCCUUCGGGUUGUAAACCGCUUUCGCCUGUGACGAAGCGUGAGUGACGGUAAUGGGUAAAGAAGCACCGGCUAACUACGUG
rnacentral:rRNA from 1 species